rnacentral:ncRNA from 1 species
AUUUCGUGUUACACGUAGAAGACGACCUCAGAGUAGGCGAGAUUAUCCGCUGAAUUUAAGCAUAUUAAUAAGCGGAGGAAAAGAAACUAACAAGGAUUUCCUUAGCGGCGAGCGAACAGGAAUGAGCCCAGCACUAAAUCCCGUGAUACCGCCGUUGGAAACUAUAGUGUUCGGGAGGAUCCGUUUAUUCCGUGACGUCGAACUGCGUCCAAGUCUAUCUUAAAUGGGGCCCGUAGUGACCGGUACGCGUUUUGGGAGGAUCACUCCUUAGAUUCGAGUUGCUUGAGAGUGCAACCCUAAGUAGGUGGUAAACUCCAUCUAAGGCUAAAUACUACCAUGAGACCGAUAGCGAACAAAUAUCGUGAGGGAAAGUUGAAAAGAACUUAGAAGAGAGAGUUCAAGAUUACGUGAAA